UAUAUGGUCUGCUUUACCAUGGUUUUCAGCAAAUCAUAAUUCUGGGCUCAAACCAUCCAGUUUAUAUGGUAUAAGGUCUGUGUAUUGUAAAGUAGGACUGACACAGACUUGACAACUUUAAUGCUGUGCCAGAACAGGCUCCAAAAACCUGGUUGUUUGUCUCUGCUAAACUCAAGACUAGGGAAGAACCUCAAUUGCAUACUCCUUGCAUCCUCUCUCCUCACCUCCUUCACAAAACCCAUUGGAGGUGGUCAGAGAAGAUCCUCCCCUCACUCAAAUCUCUCCUCACCUCCUUCUCAAAACCCAUUGGAGGUGGUCAGAGAAGAUCCUCCCCUCACUCAAAUCUCUCCUCACCUCCUUCUCAAAACCCAUUGGAGGUGGUCAGAGAAGAUCCUCCCCUCACUCAAAUCUCUCCUCACCUCAUGGUCAAAACCCAUUGGAGGUGGUCAGAGAAGAUCCUCCCCUCACUCAAAUCUCUCCUCACCUCCUAC